CACACCCCACCUGAAUGGCAUUUAGUCUGGCUCAGGGUAAGUGCUUGUGUGGAAAAAGAAAACCAUGAGGAGCAGUGCUCUUCCCACACAGUGGUUCUGAAAAAAGGCCACAUUUAUUGGCAUAUUGAGACCUCCAUCCUACAAACUGGAAGAAAGUCAUAUGCAUGAGAUGAAGGCAGAAGCAAUACAGUCACCAGGUGUCACAAGGCUGUCCACUGAAGGCACUAACAGCUCCGUGCUUGAAAUGCUUUAGAAUCAGGCUGCAUGAGAAUAAAAUGACUCUCAACUGCUUCAUCUUUCCUUCCUAAAGAAUUACAUGUUUUAACCCUAUAAUAAUAAGAUUACAAGAAGAGAAAAGCGAUGAGGAAUGAUGCUACAGGUAAUCAUGAGGAGGAAGUUCAUCUUUGAUGAAACCUGGAGGAACAGAUGUUACUGAGUUCCCAGGCAAGUAAAAUCUGGAAAGAAAUGAGCACUAUUGUCCAGGAAAUGAAGUGGAUGGGAAGCAGCUGUGACCUGGUGCUUGCUGGCUCUCCCUGGCAAGUUCUGUGGCUGUUGCUCAUCCCUGCAAAGAGGAGCUUUGGUGUCCCUUUAAUUCCCUUUCCACUGUCAGGGACAUCCCCGUGGAGGCUGGCUGCCCCAGCCCCACCAGCAUACUUGAAGAUCAGUUUAGGGAAAGUGUGGAUGCUGUCCUAAUCCUGUGUUGAAGCCAUGAUGGAUUGCGAGCCCUUCGUUACACAACAGGAUCCCUGCUCUGAGUCAGUGGAAAGGAUUUCCUGGAUGCCCAGGGUGGUGUGGAUCAGACACAGGCAGGAUAUGCAAGGGAGCAGGCAGUCACUCACAGCACUGCCAUGACCUAUCCAAGCACUUGAAAUAAGAGCUGCUGGCACAUCUCCACACUUCUGGGCAGCCUUCCCGUGUGCAGGACUGACACACUCGCUGUGAACCCACGCAGAUAUUCUGAUAUUCAUCUCUAGGGGCUAGAGAUUAAAAGAGAUGCAUGCAAGGCUUCUCCUCUGUGCUCUCAGGUGGGCACAGCCAAGGCCUGUGUACCUGUGCUGUGUGCCCAGCUCACAAAAACAUCCUCCCCAGCUGCUGCUGGAAGGGACUGCCAUGACCACUCUUGCCUCACAGCCUGGCUGGCGGCCCUUGGCACUUCCAAGGAGCUGAAGAUAGAUGAAGCAAGGGCUUUCAGCAACCUGACAGUGCCAGAACUGCACAAAGCAAGCUUUUCCUGCCCUGACAAAGGUGUGGGAUAAAAGAGGUCAUGAUAUCAUAGCCAUAGUAUUAAAUAAAUACUUACACAAAUGCAAUGUCUUCUGUUUGGAAAGCAUUUGCAAUAAUAUGGGUAGUGUGUUUAACUUGCAUUAUUUUAAUAUACCAAAUCAUCUCAGGAGCUUUUACACAGGGCAAGUGGAAGAGAUCCUUUUCAUUCAUCUGAAGGUGAAUCCCAUCCCUAACCCCCCAAAUUAAUUUCAAUACUCAAGCUCUGCUAGAAGACUGAGGACUAGAAGCAGUCAAGUGCUUCAUCAGCUGAUUUGGGACAUGCAGAUGAUAGCAGCCACUGAAGGCACUGAAAAGGCUGCACAUAGUAACAAAGCAAGCAUGAGUUAUCUGGAGGGAGCUGAUCAGUGGUCUCCAGCUGGCUCCAGGCCCCAGCUCAGAAGGUCACACAGCUGACAUGUCAUCCUGUGAGUCACCCCCUGAUACUGCCUGUGUCCAGCAUUACUCAUGUGGUUUGGCAGCAUUGGAGGGAAGUUCCUCCUCCUUGCUUGCUGCCCAAAGUCAAUGUUGCCCUACAGAACACAGGAGAAAGUAAACCCAUCACGAGACAGAUGGCAACUUGACCAUCUUGUUAGUCAUCAUCACCUCCUUGAGUGGCAGCACCAGACAAGAUUCAUACCACAAACACCACUUUACAAGCUGUCUAGAUGAUGUAUCAGCACAGCCUAAAUACAUCUACCUACAUCAAAAAUAAAGGUUUGCAGCCCUACAUUCUUUGAAGUCUCUGCUUAAAUAACAGAAUGUGUUCAGAUCUUAGCCAGGCUGAAACAACUGACAUCUUCACAAAACACCAAGAUGGAUACCUGGUCCCCACAGCUCUGUGG